GCCUUGCCCAGAUAGAAGAGAAAAUCCCAUCUCGUUUAUAAAACGAGAUGGAUUGUAUCGAAUAGCUGGACACGAG
rnacentral:sRNA from 1 species